CGAUCUCACCCCCGGCGUCCGUUUCUCUCAUCACCUAAUAAAACUUAAUGGCGAGGCUAAAGAGGAUUUAAACGUUUGGUUAUCUUUCCUGUCAACAUUUAAUGGCCGAUCAUUCUUUCUUGAUGACAGAUGGCAAAAUUCCUCUAAACUUAAUUUGUUCACGGACACCACGGGUGGCAUCGGUUUUGGUGCAAUUUUUGGCACGGAAUUCUGCCACGGUUUCUGGCCCGAUCACUGGCGCCACCGUAACAUUGCCAUUUUGGAAUUCUACCCCAUUGUACUGAGUCUGGGGUAGAAUAUUUAUGGGGUCAUAAGAUAGCGAAUCAUAGCAUUUUAUUUUUUACUGAUAAUGAAGCACUCGUUCAUGUCAUUAAUAAGCAAUCAUGCAAGGACAAGACAUUGAUGUUUUUUGUUCGCAAGCUUGUUCUUGUUUGUUUAAACCACAAUAUUUUAUUUAAAGCCAAACACAUUCCUGGGACGUACAAUCGCCUGGCUGAUCUUUUGUCUCGAUUUCAGGUUCAAACCUUCAAACGCGAAGCACCAGCCUCGAUGAAUUCCUGUGCAGCGGACAUUCCGCGGCAUCUGUUGCCAGCGAAUUGGGAAAUAUCGUUUCCCACUUGACACAAUCGAGCCUCCAGCCAUCCUCAAUUCCGACUUACCGACGCGCUUGGAAACUUUUUGACCAAUUUCAUUCUCAUGUGUUUCAAACAUUUUCAUAUAAAUUACCAAUUUCGCCUCCUACAUUAGCACUUUUUAUCGCCUACAUGUUUGACCGGCGCUACGCCCCCUCUACUGUCAACACCUACGGCUCUCGGCUAUUCCCACAAAUUAAUGGGAUUGAUGGAUCCCACUAAAAUAUUUUACAUUGUGCAAAUGUUGAAAGGCUAUGGCAAACAGGGUUUUCGUUUGGACGCUAGGUUGCCUAUUACGCUAACGAUUUUAAAUCGAUUAGUAAUGGCUGUGCCACACUGUGUCGCUACGUACUACGACCAGUGCCAAUUUUGUGCGAUGUGUGCUCUAGCAUUCUUUGCAUUUUUGCGCGUGGGUGAGAUCACCGCAACAUCACAGCCGGGCAAUUGCCCUAUACAGGUAAACCAGCUCACCAAACUCUCAAGAGAUGGUGAAGUGAUUGGUUACAAAUUAAUAUUUGCUGAUUACAAGCAUAACUACAAUCAGCGACCAUUUACUAUGGUCAUCAACUGGCAAACAAGCGCUUGCCCUGUACAAUUAUUAUCAACAUAUUUAAAUCAUCGUGGCUGUAGUCCGGGUCCAGUGUUUUUGACAGUGGAGGGCGUCGCGGUGCCGAGAAAAGUUUUUACCGCUAACCUUGUUGCUUGCCUCAAAUACCGUGACCUAAGUCCGUCGCAUUACAAAUCACAUUCGUUUCGAAUCGGUGCAGCAUCUUUCGCUGCUGAGAAUGGUUUGUCCGAUGCACAGAUUCGUCUUCUAGGUCAGUGGAAAACUAAUGCAUUUCAAAAGUAUAUUCGAGUUUCAUCUCUUUCAACGACUGCUUCAUUAUCUGAGUAACACAAUCCUUCCAAACCGGGCGACAAUGUCGCGGGGGUGUUGUCGCUUGGUCUGUGGCAUCGUAUAUUUGGUGGUCCAGAGGGCCUGUCUAGCAGGGGCGGACAUCUCUUCUUGAUCACCAGAUAUAUUAAUGUUCAUUAGUAAGUAUUCACUUAAAUUAAACUGUUAUUUCUGACUAUUUUAUUCCUUUCUGUGUGUGAACAACAGUUAGCAGGGGCGACUGUUAAAUGUUUAGUGGUUGUGUUAACAACAGUCAGCAGGGGCGACUGUUAGAUGUUUAGUAUUGAAGGGCUCUAUUUACAACAUGCUACUACUCAUAGUGGUUUCGCAGAGGCGACUGCUUUCGAUCGGCCUACACUACAGUUAACAGGGGUUACUGCGGUGUACUUUGACUCGCUAUAAAACAUUAUGAUAAUUAAAUGCUCUUUGCUAGUGGUGUUGCGUUUUCCUCGGGUGGGGAGACUCCGCGAUUUACGGUCGACUGACUUCAAUUGCGUAGUCUUUGGCGUGUAGUCCUGCCACCUUUACUGGCAAUGAACAUUAACAGACUCAAGUUAUUAACUCAAAUUAUCAAUUUUAAUGAUUUUAUGAUAUUUCUAAUUAAAUGACGAGAUUUUAAAUAAAGCGGCUG